CACCCUGAUGAGACAAAUUUGCGAUUGAUUCUGGUCGGUGGCUCUCUCGCCUGAGAUGCUAUAUCGGCCGGAUAACUGAUAUUCAAUUUCUUACAUAUUCUGACA
rfam:Cordyceps militaris CM01 unplaced genomic scaffold CCM_S00002, whole genome shotgun sequence.